CACCUCCAUUGUUCCCCCCAGUUGACCCUACUCUCUUCCACACUCCUGGCCAAUCUGGGGCGGCAUCCAACAACCCUCCGGAAGGGUUCAGCCCAACGCAACCCCGGCCAAACCGCCCACCUCCAUGAGUCGUUGUUUUAGACUUCACAACUUAUGUAUACUACUUAUGUUUCUGUUUGAUACUUAUGUGAGAGCUUGCGACGUUUGAGACUUAUGUUUGUGUUGAACACU